rfam:Branchiostoma floridae genomic scaffold BRAFLscaffold_9, whole genome shotgun sequence.
ACCCCGGCCCUUUUCAGGGCCCCCCAAAUCUUUCGCGAAAGGGCUAU